CACGCGUCAUUGCUUACCGCCUGUCCUCCGAGAGCUGAAGGCCACGCGGGUGGGAAGCCCACAGGUCACCUCCUCUGACCCCAGUUGGAGCUUGCCUAGGGUAGCAUAACAGAAACAAAGAAAGCCACAGGCUGCUAGAGAUGACUCCUGCCAAGGUGGCAGCAGUAGGAGCCUAUAACCAACAGAUGAGAGGUGUAAAGCACACCAGACAGCAUAGAGCCAGCCAUGAGGCCACUGAGCACAGGGAAACAGCCAAGAUGAUGGCUGACUUCUCUGACAUGGUUGCAGCAGAGGAAAGGGAGAGAGAAGAGAAAGGAGAGAAAAUUAAGAGAGUAAAAAUCAAGUUUCUUCUGAAAGAAAGCAAAUCCCACAUCCACUGAAGAUGAUAUGUGGAAGGGUGACUUUGAGGGGAAAAAUGAUCAGGAGAUUAAGUGAUAAAAUGACAAUGAAGAUGAGGGAAGAGCAUCAGAUUCAUAUCAAAUAGACCCUUCUUCUGAAUCAAUCAUUUUUAAAUUAAAAAAAAAAGUUGUAUUGAUAAAGUCCAUACAAAUUUCAGAAGACUAUUUUGUAUUACUUUACCAUAUUGAAAUGUCAUGUAUAUUUUGGUUAAAAUAAGUGGCUUAGAAAAUGUUUUUGUAUCUUUGUUAUGUGUUGUAUUAUGAUUUGCCCUGCAAACACCAGUGGGCAUGUAUGGUCUCAAUUAUGACUUUUAUUCUUUGAAUACUACAUUGAAAACAGCCAAAGCAAAUGCAAGGGUUAAGAGAUCAGGUUUUCUAGCCAGAGAGAUUGUCACUGGACUUCCUAGCUGCAAAACCACAGUCAAAUUACUUAUCCAUUGACUCAGUUAACUCAUUUAUAAAAGGGAUUGAAAAUAACACCCAAUCCAUAGGCAGAUGGACAGGAAUAAAUGAGAUGAUAUAUGUGCAGAGUCGAUAACAAACACAUGUUAAUAAAUAUAAGCUGCUACAUUAACCAUAAUCAAACAAGGAGUAUUUUUAAAGAUAGUUUGCACCCUUCUUUUAUGGCACUAUCCUUAUCUCAAACUAUUAACAUUUGCCUUGUAGUCUGAAACCACAUCUAGAGGUGUUGCAAGCAUUCAUGAUGAACAGUGUUGAAAAGAUACAAGUUACAGGUGAAUAAAAUGCUAAAAUGUAGACAUACUAUCUAAAAUUUUAGAAAAUAUGUGCAGAAAGAAAUACACGCACACACACACAUACAUGUCUCUAAGUAAGAUAUCUAUUUUUUUUCCAGCAAUAAAGACAUUAAUAAAAACCUGCAAAAUUGAAGAUGGUUUCAACCCUUUAAUCUAAUCUUAACUUUCCCCUUAUUCUUUUGGAAAUACUCUCCACCUCUCUCCCCCUUUCUCUCCACCCUCGGAUUUCUUUUUUGCUAGCAAACCUUGCCUGCCAUCUUUGAACAAAGUGAUGUUCAUGGUUAGAUUACAGGCAGGGGCAGCCAACAGCAUUCUUUACAAAUAGAGGCUGAGCACACUCUUUCCCCAGAAUGAUAAACCUAUCACCUCUCCCGCCCUCAGUUUGAAGCAGCAGCAGUAAUUCUGUUGGAUGCCAAAACUAAAAUCAAUGUGCCUGUGCCAUGCCCAGCUCUGAGCUGUGGCUGUAAUGAGAUUUGAAUGGGAAGCCCCGGACACAAUAAAUCUGCGCCAUAUGUGACCAUUUCCUGUGUCAGUUCCUUUCUCAUAACCAGUGGAGACUUUUUUCCCCUCUCAUGACCUCACACCAUGACUCUGAAAUCUUUCAUGGCUGCUUAUGGGCCUCGGGCUUUUUACAGCAGUUGUAUAAAUAAAUGAAUUUGACAGCAAACAUCAUAACAGUUAGCAGUAAUGUGUGUUUGCCACAAGUGCCUAUACUACUCACUGGAGAAAUGGCAGAGGAAACAGCUUGUUUUGUUACCUAAACAAAAGUAGUUUCGUUUGACAAGUGCUGAAAGAAUUAGUCAAAUAAACUUGAAAUCCACUAGGACUGUUUCUGCCAAUUCUCCCUGCCAGUGAAAUGUUCCCAGCUCCUCUGUGCCCAUGACUCACAAGAGAUAAAUUUCCCUCUUUUAUUCUGAGAUAAAGAUCUGGGCUGGGAAUACAAAACCUUUGCCUGAUAUUUUAUAUUAAUCUCCUUUGCAAGGCAAGACUGUCAUUUAGGGGAACUCAGGUACAGCAAAGAGUUUCCAAAGGAACUUGUGGCAGACAGACCAAGGAAGAUAGUUCAGGUAGGUAGGAGGGGAGGUGACAGUAAUGACCCACCCCACUGAUUACCUGUUGAAAGCAAAUUGGAGGUUAUGAGGGUUUCCUUUUCCUUCACAUUUCCUACAUUCAAGAAACAAAAAUCUCUACACCAGAAAGUUGCUAAAAGAAAGCAACUUCAUUUUCCCUGUAUCUCCACAGUCCCAGGAAAAUGAAGUUGCCUAUACUGGGGGAAUUUGUGGUCAAUUUAGAUAAGCACAAAAAAGCAUAGAUUUUUCUCUGUCAUAUGGAUUGGUUGUCUAUAAGUCCUUAAAUUUUUCUACUCCU